GAUGAACGCUGGCGGCGUGCCUAAUACAUGCAAGUCGAGCGAACAGAUGAGGAGCUUGCUCCUCUGACGUUAGCGGCGGACGGGUGAGUAACACGUGGAUAACCUACCUAUAAGACUGGGAUAACUUCGGGAAACCGGAGCUAAUACCGGAUAAUAUAUUGAACCGCAUGGUUCAAUAGUGAAAGACGGUUUUGCUGUCACUUAUAGAUGGAUCCGCGCCGCAUUAGCUAGUUGGUAAGGUAACGGCUUACCAAGGCAACGAUGCGUAGCCGACCUGAGAGGGGAACGGGCCAACAGGGAACAGAGACCGGUCCCAAACUCCUGGGGGGGGCAGCGGUAGGGAAUUUUCCCAAAGGGGCGAAAGCUUGACGGGGAAACGCCGGGGGAGAGAAGAGGGUUUUGGGAUCUAAAACCUUUGUUAUUGGGAAAGAAAAAAUGUUAAAGAAACUAGCCAGUUCUUGGGGGUCCCUAAUAAGAAAGCCACGGCAAACUACGG
rnacentral:rRNA from 1 species